AUUGAACGCUGGCGGCAGGCUUAACACAUGCAAGUCGAGCGGAGAUGAGGUGCUUGCACCUUAUCUUAGCGGCGGACGGGUGAGUAAUGCUUAGGAAUCUGCCUAUUAGUGGGGGACAACAUUCCGAAAGGAAUGCUAAUACCGCAUACGUCCUACGGGAGAAAGCAGGGGAUCUUCGGACCUUGCGCUAAUAGAUGAGCCUAAGUCGGAUUAGCUAGUUGGUGGGGUAAAGGCCUACCAAGGGGACGAUCUGUAGCGGGUCUGAGGGGAUGAUCCGCCACACUGGGACUGAGACACGGCCCAGACUCCUACGGGGGGCAGCAGUGGGAAAUGUUGGACAAUGGGGGGAACCCUGAUCCAGCCAUGCCGCGUGUGUGAAGAAGGCCUUAUGGUUGUAAAGCACUUUAAGCGAGGAGGAGGCUACUGAGACUAAUACUCUUGGAUAGUGGACGUUACUCGCAGAAUAAGCACCGGCUAACUCUGUGCCAGCCGCCGCCGUAAUAC
rnacentral:rRNA from 1 species